rnacentral:rRNA from 1 species
GACGAACGCUGGCGGCGUGCCUAAUACAUGCAAGUCGAACGCUUUUUCUUUCACCGGAGCUUGCUCCACCGAAAGAAAAAGAGUGGCGAACGGGUGAGUAACACGUUGGUAACCUGCCCAUCAGAAGGGGAUAACACUUGGAAACAGGUGCUAAUACCGUAUAACAAUAUUUUCCGCAUGGAAGAAAGUUGAAAGGAGCUUUUGCGUCACGUAUGGAUGGACCCGCGGUGCAUUAGCUAGUUGGUGAGGUAACGGCUCACCAAGGAAACGAUGCAUAGCCGACCUGAGAGGGUGAUCGGCCACCCUGGGACUGAGACACGGCCCAGACUCCUACGGGAGGCAGCAGUAGGGAAUCUUCGGCAAUGGACGAAAGUCUGACCGAGCAACGCCGCGUGAGUGAAGAAGGUUUUCGGAUCGUAAAACUCUGUUGUUAGAGAAGAACAAGGAUGAGAGUAAAAUGUUCAUCCCUUGACGGUAUCUAACCAGAAAGCCACGGCUAACUACGUGCCAGCAGCCGCCGCGG